AUACUAAUAUAGGGCUCUUUUAGGUCUUGUAAUUAGAAUAAGUACAAUUUAAACCUCUUAAUAAGGAAUAAUUAGAGGGCAAGUCUAGUGCUAGCAGCUGCGGUAAUUCUAGCUCUAA
rnacentral:rRNA from 1 species